UUUACCUACUACUUAAUUAAAACAUUUUAUAAUCUUUAGUAUCGGUGACAGAACAAUAAAUCAGCGCAAUA
rnacentral:tRNA from 1 species